GGCCUCCCAAAACACAGGCUGUUUUCUUACACUGACUGUAUAAAAGAGGAGGUACAGUAAAUGAUCGCCAUAUACACCGCAAACCAGGCCCUUUACCUGGUCUGUAUUGUGAAUGGGGGGGGGAGG